GAUGAACGCUAGCGGCAGGCUUAAUACAUGCAAGUCGAGGGGCAGCACGGUUAGCAAUAACUGGUGGCGACCGGCGCACGGGUGCGUAACACGUAUACAAUCUACCUUAAACAGGGGGAUAGCCUUUUCGAAAGAGAGAUUAAUACCCCGUAAUAAAUUGAACGGCAUCGUUUGAUUUUGAAAGCUCCGGCGGUUUGAGAUGAGUAUGCGUCUGAUUAGCUAGUUGGUGAGGUAACGGCUCACCAAGGCGACGAUCAGUGGGGGAUCUGAGAGGACUAACCCCCACACUGGUACUGAGACACGGACCAGACUCCUACGGGAGGCAGCAGUAAGGAAUAUUGGUCAAUGGAGGCAACUCUGAACCAGCCAUGCCGCGUGCAGGAUGACGGCCCUAUGGGUUGUAAACUGUCUUUUAUACAAGAGAAAACCCUGGUACGUGUACCAGGUUGAUAGUAUUGUAAGAAUAAGCAUCGGACUAACUUCGUGCCAGCAGCCGCGGUAAU
rnacentral:rRNA from 1 species